UUAUCUGGCAAGUAACAAAGAGUUACUGUGGAUUAAGAUUGGAACCUAAAAGGAUCUGCUGCCAGCGUCACCGAAAAGUCAGGAUAAGAGAUGCAGCAACAAGAGCUAGGAGACAUUCCCGAGAAGAAGCUGAGAAGCCGUGGGAGCUGCUCUCUAUCAUGAAAAG